rnacentral:rRNA from 1 species
UACAGAGGAGCCAAGCGUUGUCCGGAUUGACUGGGCGUAAAGCGCACGCAGGCGGUCGCGCGCGUGGGGUGUGAAAUCUGGCCGCUUAACGGCCAGGCGCCAUCCCAUACGGCGCGACUGGAGCGAUGCAGAGGUCGAUGGAAUUGCCGGUGUAGUGGUGAAAUGCGUAGAGAUUGGGAAGAACAUCCGUGGCGAAAGCGCUCUGCUGGACUGCAACUGACAUUGAGGGACGAAAGCUAGGGGAGCGAAUGGG